rnacentral:tRNA from 1 species
GGCAGUGUAGCGUAAUGGGUAAGGAGUUUGUCUAGUAACCUAAAGCUUAUGGGUUCGAUUCCCGGGUAGGACACUGCCG